CCCUGCUUUUGUGGGGUGCUCGAGUGGCGAACGGGUGAGUAACACGUGAGUAACCUGCCCUUGACUUUGGGAUAACUUCAGGAAACUGGGGCUAAUACCGGAUAGGAGCUCCUGCUGCAUGGUGGGGGUUGGAAAGUUUCGGCGGUUGGGGACGGACUCGCGGCUUAUCAGCUUGUUGGUGGGGUAGUGGCUUACCAAGGCUUUGACGGGUAGCCGGCCUGAGAGGGUGACCGGCCACAUUGGGACUGAGAUACGGCCCAGACUCCUACGGGAGGCAGCAGUGGGGAAUAUUGCACAAUGGGCGGAAGCCUGAUGCAGCAACGCCGCGUGCGGGAUGACGGCCUUCGGGUUGUAAACCGCUUUCGCCUGUGACGAAGCGUGAGUGACGGUAAUGGGUAAAGAAGCACCGGCUAACUACGUGCCAGCAGCCGCGGUGAUACGUAGGGUGCGAGCGUUGUCCGGAUUUAUUGGGCGUAAAGGGCUCGUAGGUGGUUGAUCGCGUCGGAAGUGUAAUCUUGGGGCUUAACCCUGAGCGUGCUUUCGAUACGGGUUGACUUGAGGAAGGUAGGGGAGAAUGGAAUUCCUGGUGGAGCGGUGGAAUGCGCAGAUAUCAGGAGGAACACCAGUGGCGAAGGCGGUUCUCUGGGCCUUUCCUGACGCUGAGGAGCGAAAGCGUGGGGAGCGAACAGGCUUAGAUACCCUGGUAGUCCACGCUGUAAACGGUGGGUACUAGGUGUGGGGUCCAUUCCACGGGUUCCGUGCCGUAGCUAACGCCUUAAGUACCCCGCCUGGGGAGUACGGCCGCAAGGCUAAAACUCAAAGGAAUUGACGGGGCCCCGCACAAGCGGCGGAGCAUGCGGAUUAAUUCGAUGCAACGCGUAGAACCUUAUCUGGGUUUGACAUGGAUCGGGAGUGCUCAGAGAUGGGUGUGCCUCUUUUGGGGUCGGUUCACAGGUGGUGCAUGGCUGUCGUCAGCUCGUGUCGUGAGAUGUUGGGUUAAGUCCCGCAACGAGCGCAACCCUUGUUCACUGUUGCCAGCACGUUAUGGUGGGGACUCAGUGGAGACCGCCGGGGUCAAC
rnacentral:rRNA from 1 species